UACGAGAGGCCCAAACGUUAUUCGGAAUUGCUGGGCUUAAAGAGUUCGUAGGCGGCGCAGAAAGUGGGGUGUGAAAGCCCUCGGCUCAACCGAGGAAUUGCGCUCCAAACUACUGUGCUUGAGGAAGCUAGAGGUGAGCAGAACUGAUGGUGGAGCGGUGAAAUGCGUUGAUAUCAUCAGGAACACCGGAGGCGAAGGCGGCUCACUGGGGGUCUUCUGACGCUGAGGAACGAAAGCCAGGGGAGCGAACGGG
rnacentral:rRNA from 1 species